rnacentral:tRNA from 1 species
UCUUAUAGUUUAAUUUAAGAACUUUAAUUUGCAAAAUUAGAAGUGUAAUACACUAAGAUUU